CCGCCUUCCUGCCACUCCUCCCGCCUUCCUGCCCUCCGCUGCCUGUGGCUCCUCACUUCCCCGGCCGUGCCGUCAGGGGCGCUCCAGAGCAGCCCCGGUGCCCACGUCUCAUCGCAGCCCUCUGGCAGGACAGCGCGCGUCUAAACUAAGCCGAGGCGCACUUCGCUAAGGGGACCUCUCCGUUUGGACAAUCCCGACGCCCGGCUCUACGUGAGGCGUUUUUCCCUCGUUCUCAUUCAUGGGCGGCGCUGGGCAUUCUCUGCCAUCCUUAGGGGUCCUCCACAGCAUGCGGGAGGCCGGCGCCCCAGGGCUCUUUCACCCCCCGCUGCUCUCGUUCCUCCACGUGUUCUCCCGAGCGACCCACCCGCGUUCAUGGUCCCAAACCCCCACCUAACCUCCAGCCAGCGCCCUUCUCCCGAGCUCCAGGCCCCUCCAGCUCCAGUGUGGGCAUCGUCCCCUGGUUCUCCUCAAGUCCACUUACACUCAGCCUCUUCCAGGCGGAAUUCCUCAUCUCCCACACAACCCUUUGCCGCUCUGGUAUCAGCUGGUGGCUUCUCCGUGGCCAUGCAGAGAAUAGAGACAGAACUUGAAACUGAUGUGCACAUGAGUGAGAUUCUUCAGCAAGGUGACAGACAGGAGGGUAAAGAGGAAGUAGGAUGAGCUCUUUGCUUUGAGUUUCUGUUUUCCAGGUCGGCUUGAUUGGAAAGAGGGAUGGCCGUGGUGAGAGUUGACAGUGUGCUGGUAGCCCUCGCAGCCCACGCUCGCUCUCGGCGCCUCCUCUGCCUGGGCUCCCACUUUGACGGCACUUGAGGAGCCCUCCAGCCCGCCGCCGCACUGUGGGAGCCCCUUGCUGGGCUGGCCGAGACCGGAGCCAGCUCCCUCAGCUUGCAGGGAGGUGUGGAGGGAGAGGCAUGGGCGGGAACCAGGGCUUCGCGGGUGCCUGCGGGCCAGCACGAGUUCCGGGUGGGCGUGGGCUCAGCGGGCCUCACACUGGGAGCCGCAGGCCGGCUCGCAAGUCCCGGGCAGUGAGGAGCUUACUACCCGGGCCAGCAGCUGCGGAGGGUGUGCCGGGUCCCCCAGCAGUGCCGGCCCACCGGCUCUGUGCUGGAUUUCUUGCCGUGCCUUAGCUGCCUCCCCUCGGGCAGGGCUGGGGACCUGCAGCCUGCCAUGCCUGAGUCUCCCUCCGCACUGCCAGAUGCUCCUGCCGGGCCUGAGUCUCCCCGACGAGCGCUGCCCCAUGUUCCACGGCGCCCGAUCCCAUCCACUGCCCAAGGUCUGAGGAGUGCCAGCGCACGGCGACGGAGUGGCAGGCAGCUCCACCUGCGGCCCCGGUGUGAGAUCCACUGGAUGAAGCCAGCUGGACUCCUGAGUCUGGUGGGGACUUGGAGAAUCUUUAUGUCUAGCUGGGGGAUUGUGAAUGCACCAAUCAGCACUCUGUAUCUAGCUCAAGGUUUGUAAACACACCAAUCAGCACCCUGUGUCUAGCUCAGGGUUUGUGAAUGCACCAAUCGACACUCUGUUUCUAGCUAAUUUAGUGGGGCCGUGGAGAACUUUUGUGUCGAACUCAGGGAUUGUAAACGCACCAAUCAGCACUCUGUCAAAAUGGACCAAUCAGCUCUCUGUAAAACAGACCAAUCGGCUCUCUGUAAAAUGGACCAAUCAGCAGGAUGUGGGUGGGGCCAGAUAAGAGAAUAAAAGCAGGCUGCUCCGCGCUAGCACUAGCAAGUUGCUAGAGUGGCCUGCCACAGUGUAAGUUUUGUUCUUUAGCUCUUUGCAAUAAAUCUUGCUACUGCCCACUCUUUGGGUUUACACUGCAUUUAUGAGCUGUAACACUCAUGGUGAAGAUUUACAGGUUCAGUCCUGAAGCCAGCGAGACAAAGAACCCACUGGGAAGAACAAACAACUCCAGACGCCCCAACUUAAGAGCUGUUAACACCCGAAGAUCUGCAGCUUCACUUUUGAGCCAGCGAGACCACGAACCCACCAGAAGGAAGAAACUCUGAACAGGCUGGAACGUCAGAAGGAACAAACUCAGGACAUGCCACCUUUAAGAACUGUAACACUCACUGUGAGGGUCUGCGGCUUCAUUCUUGAAGGCUGUGAGACCAAGAACCCACCAAUUUCGGACACACUGGGACCACCCUCGCUGACUGGAGGUAAUAUUGGUUUUUGCUGUUGAAAUUAAUGACAAAAAGCGUGAUUACCUUUGCACCAACCUAAAUGUAAGUAGCCGAGGGCCAGUGUGGUGGUGCUGUGAUGCCUUCUAUGUCACAGGCUGUUUUUGUUUUUAAUUUCUCCAUCCUUAUUAGUGCUUUUCCUUAAGGUCACCUCAGGUCCACAGACAAGGCUGCUGAGCCUCCAGCUAUCCUGCCCAUGUUCUAUUUAAGAAAGAAGGGACAGGAGCAAAGAUGUUUUCCAGCAAUCUCAUCCAAUGCAUUUGCUGACAUUUCACUGGCCACCCCAUCAGGAAGGAAAGCCAGACAUUUUUUUUCUGCACCUAGAAAUUUACAGGUUUUAUUAGUUAAGAAUAUGGUUUAGUAGACUUUGGGUAGGAAACUAGCAGUCGCUGAUGUGUGAGGGAUUCUAAAAAUAAGCUUGGACUUUUAAAAACAUGUCUGAUAUGUUUGUGCCCUGUAGAUCCAUGUCACUUGGCAAAGUUCCUCCAGAGUUAUCUAGAAUUUUUCCUUUAUUUCAAUAUCUCAUCAAUUGCUCCCGAUCAGUUGCCAAACCUUGCCAGUUUCAAGUCCCAGAAUGUAAACUAAAUCUGUUUCCUCCUCUUCAUUCCUGAUACCACUUCCCUAGUUCAGGCCCUGCUGUUCCUCGCUAGGUCGCUGGCACCACCUCUUGACUGUGUCCUUUGAGUAGGGAGAGUAAAGCAUGAACGGUGCCAGCUCUACAGCUGGAGCUUGGCUUUUCUUGGGGGGGGGGGGUAAAUAAAUUAAACAGAAAAUGCUGGUAGUUCCUGUGGUGUAUCUGAGCUAUCUGUUUAAAUAGCUGAUUCGUUCAUCAUUAGGUGUCCAAGGACAGUGACUUGCCUUAUUCUGCUCUUAUUCUCCAGCACUUGAGGCAAUCAUUCCCAGAUAGUGGAACCUCGAAUGGCAGACACUGUGGUUCUCCUGCGGGGCUGAGAACUGUGAGGAGCAGAGCAGACUUCAUGGAGCUCCACAAGUCACAUACACAGGCGGCUGCUGGCUAUUUCCGCUUUCUCAUCUGGAAUUGGCAGCGGACUAAGUGGGCCCUACUUAUUAGAUAAGGAAACUGAGGCACACAAGGUCAGCUAACCUGCCCGAGGUCUCUAGCUAGUGACUGGAAGAGGUGUUCUCUGGAUAUUAUUUGAAUCUCAGUCUCGCUAUAUUUCUUCGUCAUGACUGUAACUUUCCCCCUGUAUUUCUAAAUAUUUUAAUCUCUUGAUCAUAUAGCAUACGUUGAUUUAAUAAAUCACUUUUACAUGCAUUAUCGUAUUUGGUAUUCAUCACAGCUCUCUGAGGUGGGUAAGGGAGAUUUGGUUACUUCUUUCUGACAAAUGAGAAAAAUGAUGCUCAUAGACACUGUUAAGUUAGAAGCACAGGGCGUUAAUUCUGGAAGUGUUUUAAAGAUUACCCAAUCCAGCCACUCAACUUUUAGGAAAUUGAGCGUCAGAAAAAUAAAUGCCUUUCUCUAGUUCCCACAGCUGGCUGCAGUACCAAUCACCUGCCUCUGAGUUCAUUGCCAGCUGGGUGCUGUGGAACUUACCUUGACUUUGGAGUUAAUUAUCCAACUUCUCUGAGCUAUA
rnacentral:lncRNA from 10 species